rnacentral:lncRNA from 1 species
UUCAGGUAUGAAUCAUUGCAUUUAGUCUUUAAUAAUCCAGAUUGAUGGUAAACCUUGGCCCUAUCUAGUUUACUUGUAGUAAACUUAGGAUAUUGAAUCUUUGAUACGUGAAACAACUUGCAGUUGUGCUGUUCUUAUAAAAAUUUAUGAUGGUUUUGCCUUUUUCUCAAGGCUUAAUAUGGCUGUCGUGAAUGAGUUUCAUUUAUCGCUAAUUGAACUCCUGACUCUGCAGAUUCCACUAUCUUGGAAGCCAGUGUUAGAGGACUUUUCAACUGUGCAGAUAUUUUUUGAUUAUUAUACAAUUGCAAAGCCACCUAUCUCGAAAGAGGUCUGUUUUAUAUGUGUACGCAUGUAUAUUUGACUUUAGAUCAUAAGCAGAUUGUUUCAAUGUUCAUCAAGUAUCUGAUUUUUAUUGUCAUUUGCUUUUGAGUCCAAAGUGUAUUAGAUUUGAAAUUUUCAUUUGAAUUACUAUUGAAUUCUGUUGCAACACCAAAUUUCGUGAUUCGGACCAUAGUAAGAGUUUUUUCUUUUUUCUUUUUUUUUCCUUUCCUCCUUUGGCUUGUAUUCUCUGCUUCUCAUAUUCUCCCUUUGUGACACAUUUUUAAACGUAAUAAAUUAGCAGCUUUAAUAGAAAUUCAGAACAAGUCAAUGUGAAUGAAAAGUACAGACUGUGCGGAUUAUGGUUGUGCCAUUACUGCUAGGACAAAAAUUUAGAAAAUUCCAUCUGGUUUUUCUGAUGUGUAGGUCCAUCAUAUUGUUGUUGAGGAUAAAUUUGUAGGUGGAUAGGGUUCUUCACUUUCUAAAUUUUCCUUUUUUUCAUUUUGAGAAGUAUUAGAGUGUUAAAUUCCCUUCUGUUGCAUUAAGUAACAUAUCUGAACAAUUUAAGUCUUCCUUCUGGGCAUUGCACUUGCAGUAACAUGCUUUGCAGGCUCUCUCUCUCUCUCUCUCUGUGCGCGUGCGUGUGAAACUUGUAUCAUUUUAAUAGAACUGUAGUUAAGAAAGGAUAUUAUAACGUACUACUAAUUUUGAUACGCUCUUUAUGUCUGUUAUUAAAUCUGAUUAUUGCAGUUGCUUAUGGUACCCUUUUCUAGCUUCUAGGAAAGUAACAUGUUUUGCAGUUCGUGUGUGUGUGUCAAAAUUCUUUCAUUUUAUGUGUCAAACUUGUGUCAUUUUUUAUAGAACAGUAAUCAAGAAAGGAUGUUACAAUGUACUACUAAUUUCAUAACACACUACAUAUGUGUGCUUAAUGAAUUGAUUAUUGCAGUUUGCUCAAGAUAUCCAUUUUUAGCUGUUAGGGGCUAGUAUGUUAUUAUGUAGUUGGUAAAUUGUCCUGGUUAUUCCUGUGCCAGCUUCUUCUUAUGUUGGGUGAUCAGUUGAACCUUUUGAAUUAUACAUUAUUAGUUUUUUAUGCCUCGUAUAGAACACCGCUUGUCACAUGUAUUCUCUAUGUCUAGUACCUUAUCUUAACUUCUAUUUGGUUUCAUUAUUUUAUUUUUAGGCUCUGGAGUGCUUAGUGCGAUUGGCAUCUGUCAGGCGCUCUUUGUUUACAACUGAUGUGACUCGUUCCAAGUACUUGGCACAUCUGAUGACAGGAACAAAAGAAAUUCUACGAUCAGGGACAGGUGUAGGAGCUAAUUGGACUUUCAUACUGCAUGACUAGUUUGCUGUUUUGCUUUCACGCAUCUAUGAAUCUGGAUGCUUUGUGAUACUUUCACUAUAUUGCUUGAGUAAUUGUUUGUUCACUUGUGUUGUAUUUUCUGGUACAGUUUCUUAAUGCACUUGAAAAUUUUGAAUAAAUCAUUCAUAGUUGCUCUCACAAUCCAUCCAUUCAUAAACUUCCGCUCUGUAUCAUUGAUGUCGUACUUAUCGCUAGUAUCAUCCCAUAACCCAUCCUACUGAUUCUUGAUCCACAACAAUAGAUGAAAUUUGAUGAACCUACCUUCGGUGAAUUAAACUUUAUUUGUUCAUUUAUGUUAUCUCUCUCCAGUUUUGUAACUGGUGCAAGAAUUAUACUUGUGCCUAUGCUAUCUUUGACAUGCUUGUGUGAGCUCAAUCAUGUUGAAACAUUUGGUGAUAAUACUAGUAAUUCUGGCCUGUUAAACUAAGUACCGAAGGCUGAUUUGUGUUAACAUGUGCUGGAAAAGAUGUUUCAAGCAACUGCAUGAAUUAUCUGGGAUCAGGAGAGUUUUCUUGAGUUAUUUCAGUUAGUCGAGCCAUUUCACUAAGCUGGUAUAACUAUUGGCUUGGAUACUAAAGGUAUCAAUUAUCCCCUUUCCCCUGUUCUAUAAGAAAAAGUCAUCCCAAAGAGAGAGUUAUUUAUUCUGUUUGCUCUGCCACUAAGUUUUGGAGGAAGAUAUUCUUCUGCGCAUUGUCAGUUUGCAGAUUUCUGCUAUUGUGACACUCAAUUAGCCCAUCUCUUUUUGACAAACCUUUCAUCUUAAGUUAUUAGCUCUAUAGCUAUUGCUACUUUGUUUUUCUUUGGUGUUAACAGCAUGGGACUUUCGGAGCUGCACUUGAGAAAUUCCUUUUGAUUUGAUCAUUGGUGGAGGGUGGACAUCUUACUCUACAUUUAAUGAUGAAAAAGUUGUAUUGUACAAAUGUCCUUGCUACGCUUUAUAGUAGCUCAAAUAUAGUUGUAGGUCAAAUUUUAUCCUUGGGAAGGAUUGAAAUAUAUCUUAAUCUAGUAUGGAAAAGCUUCUUGUUGCCUUCAGAUGGCAGGUCAGCUAUGAGUCAUGCCCCUGUCAUGGUGCUAGCAAGUCUUGUAUUUGACUAUUAAAACUAAAUUGCCCGCUGUUGCCUAUGAAAUCUUACUUCAGCAUUUUGUCCUUAUUAUGCCUCUUAUUCCUUUUAUACAUCUGCUAAUUGUAUAAUUUGAUUGACUGGUAUUCAGGUCUGGGUGAUCAUGAUAACUACCAUGAGUUUUGCCGCCUACUUGGACGUUUCAGAAUUAAUUAUCAGGUACUUUUUCCUUGUCUUUCUGAUGUCUAAUGGAAUUUCAGUUCCUUUACCAUUUCAGCUGAGAUAAGAUCCCCAUGAUACCCCUUUUAAUUGUGAGUGUGUGUUCCUUUUUUCUGGUAUGCAAUAUAAUUGUAUUUUGUCCUUCUUCUUGGCUGAGUUGGGAUUUCCUGGCUUAACUAGAUCCUAUUAAAUCAAUAACUAGAGGUUCAAGUUUUCUUUCCUCUCCAUCUUCAAUUUGUUAUUUAUAGAAUUAUUUCCAUCUUCUUUUUCUUUGCCAUGGUCUUAACUUUUGGAAAUGCACCACAAGUUCCCUCCCUUUAGUGAGGGAAUUGCAGAAGUGGUCAUUUGGGUUCCUUAGGUAAAAAAUCUCUGGGUAGUCUUAUUUGUUGCAUCACGUUUGUUGAAAAUUCUUUAGAGUUAUCACCCUUCACUGUGUGAUUACUUGCUGCAUUAGCAUGAACUUUGCAUUAUGUGAACUAUCUUAAACAGUGCUAGGAGUGCUGCAAACUCUCUUAUCAAAUACGAUCUCGGUUUAACCUUUUCUGCACUCCUCAAGCUAAAGCAAUGUUCCCGAUUUUCCUGUUUCAGUGCCUAAAGUAACAUGAAUAAGUCAUUUGCUCAAGUCCAAGUAGUUAUGUUAACAUACUGGUACAAUCAUUUGUGUUAUUCUUUCUGCAGUGGUUGGCAUUUGUCAAACGAGUUCUACUUGUAUUGAAGGGGAGAGCAAAAAGAACAUCCUGUCUUUUUCUCCUUGAUGUGUUCUAAGUGGGAAUCUUUAUUAAGUUCAUACACAUGCUUUAGACUUCAGUACUUAUCCUGCACCAUGAAUAGACUCUUUUGUGAAAAAUCUAUUUCCAUUUUUCUACCAAAUCUACAUUCAGAUAAUAUCCAAUCGCGUUGGCUUAUAAUUGCCCUUUCAUAAUAAUGAGAAACUUCCAAUCUUUGAACCCUUCUCAUAAAUCUGGUUGUUUCUCUUAAAUUGAUUUGCUAAGCUGUGCGUAGAUUUGUUUUAGGCUGCUCAAGACUCUGCUGCCCCUUGUAUGCGUUUCUUCUUUUUAUCAGUCUUUGGUGAUGUCUCUUUCUGGUAGAACUGGUAGAACUUCAAGGUGCAGCUACUGGUUUUUUUUGGCCCAUGACUUCCUGCCAGGUUGUUUCCUUUGCAAGUCCCAGGCUUGUGCUUGGGCAACCUCUUAUGGGUUAAAUCUAACAGACGAUCAUUCCUCAACUCCAAAGUAUCUUUUGCUCCCAAGUAAAUGGUCAAGACAAUUUCUUGGGAUCCAAAGUUUGCUCUGAUACUGAAUGGUGAUGCAUUUGAUUAUAGAAAAUUAAUUCAAGGAAUUGAGCAUUGGAUGAGAGCAGUAAGCUGAAAGCCAGAAUGACAACAGCAAGAGAUAUGGAUUCUGGCAAUGUCUGUUCUUUGUCAGAGAAAGAAAAUUCCGAGUUCUCAAAGUUGACUCCCCCAAAAGCUUAGGAUUUAAAAUUUCUCCAUAAUCUAGUGAAGACCAAAGAUGAACUCAUGGAUGUGUUUAAUUAACUUCUAAAAUGUCCAACAAACAUUUAGACAUUGGCUUGGGAUUAAAUCAAAGCUUAGAGGCCCAGACUCAUUCUUUCAAUAGGUAGUCUACUGGUCCUUGUUUCAAUACUGGGUACACCAAGUCUCGUUUUUGUUGUUCUCUAAUAGCAACAUUUUUUUUAAGGACUAAAUUUGAACCUGGAUACUUGUACCUUGCCUGAAACUUUGGUGCUGACAUAACUUGCAUGUACUUUUUGGUCGAGUCGUGUAUGAAUUUGAGUAUAAUUUCUUUGAUUUGGUAAGCGUAAUUAUGCUUUAUCGCAGUUGUCAGAACUUGUCAAUAUGGAAGGAUACAGUGAAUGGAUACGUUUGGUAGCAGAGUUUACGUCAAAAUCUUUGCAGUCCUGGCAGGUAAAUACACUGUUGCAUUCUGCUUUUGGAUAAUAUCUACUUAUAGCUUUCCUUGAUUGAAAUGUGAUGUGAUUUUAGUAAUAACAGGACUCGCCUUAAACUGCUUCUGUGAUAUUAAUUGAUAUUCUAUCUUAAAAUAGUGUUUUUUUUUUUUACUUUCUUUCAUGUUCCUUGGACCUGGCUGUGGAUACACCACGUAUAUAAUUCUUGUCAUCUUUUCCCCAUUCUUGAUUUGUUUCUUUCUUCUUUUUGAUUUUCCCCAUUCUCCUUCCCCUUCCUUCCUGCUUAUAUACCCAUCUUCCUUCCAGUUGUCAACUUGGAGUAAAGUAACACUAGCUCAUAGGACUCCUGUAAGCACUAGGAGCAGCUAGAAGUAGCCAGGUUUCUUGUCAUCAUGAGUUUCUACUUUAAAAAUCUUAUUGAAUCUGUUUUCUUGCAGUGGGCGAGCACCAGUGUUUAUUACCUUCUAGGGCUGUGGUCCAGAUUGGUAAGUUCUGUACCAUAUCUGAAGGCGGAUGCACCGAGCUUACUUGAUGAGUUUGUGCCAAAAAUUACUGAAGGUUAUAUCACAUCAAGGCUGGAUGCAACUCAGGUAGAAUGUCGUCAUGGCUCUUUUUGGCUUGGACAAGUUGGGAAAGUUAAUGCAAGGGAAGUAAAGUGAUGGGUUGCUUCAUUUUGUCAUUCUAGGCUGGAUUACCAGAUGAUCUUUCAGAACACCCUCUGGACAAUGUUGAGCUUCUUCAAGAUCAGCUUGAUUCCUUUCCAAAUCUUUGUAGAUUUCAGGUAAAGUCUAUGUAUUUUUUUUCCUUGUUAAAGAAUCUCAUUGCAUAGCUCUAAUACUAUUAGCUUUUCGUCUUCUAACAGUCACUGAUUUAUUUGUGUUCAUGAUCUCAGUAUGAAAGCAGUAGCUUGUUUCUUAUUAAUAUCAUGGAACCAAUUCUACAAACAUAUACGGUAUGCUGAAGACUCCAUUAGUGCUUUCUAUUGCUUGUGUUCCUUGUAUUCGAUAAAAUGUACUUAUUUAUCCCCUCUCUUCUGUGGAUUUUCUUCCUUUAUAUAGGAAAGAGCACAACUUCAACCUACUGAUGGUGGUGAACUGUCAGUCAUUGAAGCCAAACUUUCUUGGAUAGUGCAUAUAAUUGCUGCUCUCUUAAGAGUGAAGCAGUGUUCUGGUUGCAGGUAAAGAAACGUUCUAUGUGAUGCUUGUUGGUGGACAAACUUUUUUUUUUGUUUUUGGGUUCAUUUUAGUCUUGUCUAUGUAUGUUUAAACUUAAAUCACUGAGUAUUAUGCAGCUCGGAUUCACAAGAAGUAAUUGAUGCAGAACUUUCAGCACGUGUAUUGCGUUUAGUUAAUGUCUCUGAUACUGGGUUGCACAGUCAGGUAUGCACUGGGGACAAAGCCUCACUGCUUCGAAUGAUAUUAUGCGACUUGAUACUAAUGCUUUCUACUAAAUUUCACAAAUUGCAUAAGUUGUUUGUUUGUUGUGGCAACUUUUGAAGUAGCCACUAUGUUUUAAGUUCCACUUCUGAUUUUGCUGCUUCUUUUCCUUGGAUUCUGAGACUAACUAAAAAUACUGAAAAUUUGACAGACUUCGAGUGAUUUCGAAAUAAAAUCUAUGGAUUAGGGCACAGGUUUUUGUCCUUUUUCCUCUAAUUUCCUUAAAGAAAUAAUGCACUGGAAUAUUUCUUUCAUAUACUAUUAUUUAUUUAUUUAUUUAUUUUUUGCUCUCUGUGAUUUUUCACAAAUGAUUGCCAAUAAUUCCAUGGAAUUCUAAGGCACAUUUUUUCUGCCUUUUCCUCUAUUUUUCUUAAGAAAUAUUACACUGUGAUACUUUGGCUUUUACCUUUAGUUAUUAUAUGUUUUUUGCUCUUUCUGAUAUUUCCAAAUUUUUUUUCCCAUUGAUAGUAGCAUAUAUUAUUAUGUUUUUGUAUACCUGCUAAAAAGAAUCACCCAUUUACACAGUGGACAACCAUAAGGUUUUAGGUGACUUUGUGAAAUUGCAGAUUUAUAUACACAGAUAAUGUUGACAUGGUCAAAAAGGAAAACUCUUUGCAUCUCUAGAGAUCCAUAGAAAACUUUCUCAUGCGUUUUUUCAGCUUUUAAGACAUUCAAGCUUAUAGUAUUAGUAAUUUCCAAACCAAGAAUGGUCUGAAGGAUGAUCAUAACUUGACGUCUUACAACAGAAAUAUAGGCAUGGAGUUGCAGUUAGAAGAAUCAUAAUGAUGUUCUCAUGUUUCACUGUCUGGCAUAUGAGAUGAUGUGUGCUUCUAGCUUGUAAAAACCAUAGAAGCAUGCGAUAUGAUCUUUGUGGUCCUUUUUGGCAUCUUUGAUUGCUUAUCCAACUGAGCAGUGAGCUGACCUCUGGAGUGUGUUUCUUAUACGGACAAUGUAUUGAAAGCUAAAAUUUCUUCUAAAACCUCUCAUAUCUAACAAAGUAUUUACUUCAUUUUUUGUGUAAUAGUCAAUAUCCUUGCUUAUGCUAGAUUUUUGCUUGAGUAGUUAUCUGUAGUAUGUAUAACAUUUGAUGUUGUAAAACACUCUUGAUAGAUAUAACUAUUAAAGAUCUGAGUGAUACAUUGUGGGCUUCUUGAUCUACCUUUGUUCCUUUUGCAAUUUGUUGCUUUCACUGAAUAUCUGUGAUUCUCCCCUGCAAGUGUUGUAAACUAAAAGUUUCUUUGCUAUUAUUAUUUUUUAAAUCUCACAUGCAGUUUCUUUUCAAAUGCUAGGAAAUAUAGCAAUUUUAUUGUCUUGUUGCAUUGCAGAGAUAUGGCGAACCAAGCAAACAAAGGCUUGAUCGUGCAGUUCUUACCUUUUUCCAAUUUUUCAGAAAGUCCUAUGUGGGUGAUCAAGCUAUGCAUUCAUCAAAGGUAAUACAACUUAUUCUCAUUUCAAAAUAUUGAUGGACUUAUUGAUAAUCCAUGUUCUUGCUUUAUAUUGCAGCAGUUAUAUGCCAGACUCUCUGAACUUCUUGGACUUCAUGAUCACCUUUUGCUGUUGGAUUUUUUUAUUCGAAAAAUUGCAACGAACCUCAAGUGUUAUACAGAGGUAAUGGUUUUUAUCUUUUACUACUUUAAGCUGCUUGUUCAAGUUGAUCUCAUUUCUCUUUGCAUGUAGAGUGAUGAAGUUGUUGAUCACACUUUAAGUUUGUUCUUGGAGCUGGCUUCUGGGUAAGUAUGAAUAGUUAGUACUUUGUAGAUUUUAUGUAUUUCUAACUCCUACAAUUAGUCUAGUGAUAUGUCUUAUCAUGAAAUAAUUGUUUUUUUUCCCCCUGCAGCUAUAUGACUGGAAAGCUGCUGCUGAAAUUGGAGACUGUUAAAUUUAUUAUUGCCAAUCACACUGUAAUGCAAUCUAUAUCAUCUGAACUAAUUGAAUUUCAGACUGUCUCAAUGCCUUGGGACUAUUUAUGUUUUUAUGCAUGAAGUUGCAAAUCUAUUGUGUGCUUAUACGGAUAUUCUCUCCUACCCCUUGUUUCAGAAGGAGCACUUUCCGUUUCUUGAAGACUAUAGAAGCUCACGGAGCAGAACAACUUUCUAUUAUACGAUUGGCUGGUUAAUAUUUUUGGAGGAUAGUCCUCUGCUAUUUAAGUCCUCCAUGGAUUCACUACUGCAAGUAUGUAUACUAAGUGUUGUCAUGUGUUUGCCUAUCCUCCAUAUACUUUUUUCAUGUAGAUUAAGUUGCAAUUUAUGCAUGAUAUGCAAAUACAUAGAUCAUGCAUAGUGUACAAUUAUAUGCAAUGCAAGAUUAAAUUGAGGGUUUUCCUUUUAAAUCAUUUUUGCAAGUCAUUGACAUCUUCUGCUUGAUAUGUUUGGACACUGUUUAGGUUUUCGUCACUUUGGGUGCCACACCUGAUGCUAUGUUCCGAACAGAUGGCGUGAAAUAUAAGUUAAUUGGGUUGAUGAGGGAUCUUAGAGGCAUUGCAAUGGCGACAAAUAGGUCCGUACAUUUUACUUCUGAGGUAGUCUAAUCAAAGUAUCAAGUAGUUCUUGCCAAUUUGUUCAUUUUACCUUUUGGUGGCUUUUCAGUCGAAGAACUUAUGGGCUUUUGUUUGAUUGGAUAUAUCCUGCUCACAUGCCUAUUCUUUUAAAGGGCAUCUCACACUGGGCUGAUACGCCGGAGGUACUAUUUCAUGGUUGAAUUUUUCUUAAGAAACUAUGUCCUUGCUUUUGGUUUUCGUUGUCUGAAUUUAUUGCUCAAGCAUUUCAUUUUGAUUCUUUUAGGUAGGUGUUUGAACUUAAGUUGAGCUUGUUAAUGAUGUGCUUGUUCUGUUUGCUCAUUUUAUCUCCAUAUUGAAACAUAUGCCAGACCUUUUGCGUUUCUAUGUAGUCUUAUAAACUUUUCUCUUUAUUUCUUAACUUUUGGCUUGUCCAAUUGACUUAUCCCAAUGAACUAUAUUUGUACUCAUUAAUGUUUGAUCCAAUUUGAUGUUUUGUCUGAGCUCUGAACAUUAUUCUAUACACGCACAAACUUUGAUUGCACAAUUCUGCAGGUUACAACUCCAUUGUUAAAGUUCAUGGCUGAGUUUGUAUUAAACAAAGCUCAACGCUUGACUUUUGAUUCUUCUUCUCCAAAUGGAAUAUUACUUUUUAGAGAAGUUAGCAAGCUUCUUGUUGCAUAUGGCUCAAGAGUUUUAUCUCUUCCAAAUCCUGCGGAUAUUUAUGCCUUCAAAUACAAGGGGAUAUGGAUUUCACUAACUAUCCUUGCAAGAGGUAAACAAUUUCUUGUACAUCAGAAUAUUCUGGAACUACACUAGUUUUUCUGCAUUUUUAUUCGUCCUUUGAAACUCUUUUAUGUCUAGUAAGAUCUUGUUUUUGCAGAAUGACAUGUUCGGUUGGUAAGAAAAUUAAUUCUGAGGACCCUCUAAAAUAGCUACUACAUGCAUGUAGGAAAACUAUUAUUGUUGGUGAGAUAAAGAAUUGUAAGAAUCCUUGGAUACUUUUUAAGAGUUUAGUUAAGCUUAAGCAAGGAGUUCUACAAGCCAUUUAGGAGAGUCAUUGAGCUCCUAUAUGUUUUGAGAGAGAUUUGGAAUGGUUAUUUCUAGUCUUUACCUCAUUUUACCUAUCUUUAAGACCUUACAGUCUUUCCAAAAGGUCACGACUUCGUUAAAAAAAUCCUUUAUCUCGCUUCUUGUUUGUUCUCAAUAGAAGGUGCUCUCUUCUGGUUUGUGGAAUAUGUUUGCUUACCUCUUCGGUAAAAUUUUCACUGACCAGUUUGAUUUGUGGUUCUGCUAUGUGGAAAUCACAUACAAUUACUAAAGCUCAGCUUUAACUUUACUAUUAAUUGUUUACUGCUCGAAAGGAUGUUCAUCUUCCUGUUUAUAAAAAAUUGUGUUCAGACUAAUGUUAUUCUGAGCAAUAGAGGGAUGCCUUUGUUGGGCAUAUCUGCUGCCUGAAGCUCUGCUAUUGUGGGGUUCUGGCUUUGCAACUUUGCCCUUUCAAGGAGGGCUGGUUGGGCAGCUAUUUUUCUGUAUUAAAACUUGAGGGGGUAUGCCUUUAUCUUUAUGGAAAUGUAAAAGGAGGCUAGUGUUGUUUGUCCUUGUUACUUUUUCUUUUUUGUAGAACUAGUAUGUUUUUUUAGUAGUAGUAGUUCUGUAGGAUAGGCUAUACAUGUUUAGGCCAUCGCAUUUCACUGAGUCUAGGAUAUGUAGUAAAGUAAAUAUUUGUUAAAAUCAACAGAUUCCAUUGGAAUUACUCUAUUUUAUCCAUUUUUUUGCACCAACUUUUUGCUGUUGCUUUUACCACAUGGCAGCUCUUGCUGGAAAUUAUGUGAACUUUGGAGUUUUUGAACUCUAUGGAGACAGAGCACUUGCUGAUGCACUCGAUAUUGCUCUUAAGAUGACACUGGCAAUUCCCUUGGCUGAUAUUUUGGCUUACAGGAAGGUAUGUAUGGCUAUUCAUUAGAGAAUGAGGAAGAGUAAUUGAAAGGAUAUGAGUAAAUUCGUAUCAGAUCUUUUUUGGAGAUGCUUUCCAUCCGUACUACAGUCUACAAGAGUAGUAGUGAUUAAAUGGAAUUUUGUCGGCUUGUUAAGGAUAGUGUUAUUUUGGUGAACUUAUAGAUUAGAUCCACUUGUCAUAUUAGUAGUUAACUCUCUGAAGUACCGGGGUUGCAAAUCAUAAGAUCUAAUUGUCAUUUUAGUAGUUAAGUUAAAAAGAGGGUAAUUUUCUGUUGCUCUUAAUAUUAAAUGACCCAAAUUUGGGAUGCCCCACAAUCUUAGAAAUCUUUGUAAAGAGAAUGAUUGUGUUUUUAUCUGCUUAAACAAUCCUGUGUCUCUAGUUUAAUUGUCUGAUCAAGUUAAUCAUAAAAAUGUGGUCAGUAAUCCUGGAAAAUAGCGGACCAUUGCCAUCAUGAAGUCACCUUUUCCAAAAAGUUGGAUUUGGAGAAGCACCUAUUACUAGGGACAGUUUUAAGUAAUGAAGAAUACUCAUAGGGAGGAGUAUGACUAGUUUCUGAAUGUCUGUAAAAUAUGUCUUUAGUCUUUCCAUCCUGUAAGACAUAUCAGAUCAGCUUUGGAUUUAUGAAUAAUGUAACGUUUUGAGAUUCUAUUGUUUUGCUUACUGUGAGCAACUAUACCUUAAGGAUUGAUUUUUAAGAUGUGAUUCCUAGAUCUUCUUCCUCCUCCUCCUUACUCUUACCUCUAAGUUUCGCUUUCAAUCACAACCAUAAUCCUGGAUCCAACUUAUUGGCCUUUCUGAUGUUGUGCUUCUCUGAGCAUUAAUGGUCGAGUUCCUGAUUAUGCUUCUGAUGUAAUUCUUCUUUGUCUUUAUUUACUUCAAAUGGCAAAGUAGUCCUUCAAAAUAAUUCGAACACAUAAUGUACUUGUGUGUCUGUUCCGUACUGUUUAGGAAGAAAAAGAGUGUUCAGGAGAAGGCCAGAUUUAUAAAGGUUUGGAGGGAACACGCAAAAUCCAAAAUGUACCUUUCAACAGUAAAGGCAUAUUUUUUCAAAAAUGCUUAUCAGAUUAUUGCUUUUUUCAGAAGGUAGAUAAAUGCCCAGUGAUGAGGCAAUGCAAGAAAUGUGUCUUUCCUGGGAAUUGGACGGAUGGGCAUUGCCUGUGUCUAUCGAAUUGUUGGCUUCCUUUAGCACAAUUUCUCAUUUCCCGUGCUGGAUUUCCUUUCUCAGCUAUGUGAUUUUGAUUCCAUCCUCAACUGAACCAUAAACUAGAUCUCAACCAAACAAAAACUGGAUCUUUAGAGUUUCCGAAGAAGGAAAAGUCAAUCUUCUGUUUUGUGCUUCACCACCUGAAAAGUUGGUUAGGAACCAAAGAUCUUUUAGUGUUCUUCUUUCGUGGGCAAUGCAUCUCCGCUUCUGAUAGAUACCUCUUGGUUAAAGGAUAGGAAAUUUGUUGCAAGCUUCAGACGCGCAUACAGAGCUUUUGCAUCUAGUUUCUCUUGGAUCACCUCUGUGCUCAUGAAUAAGAUACAUUAAGCUUUCUAAGAUAAGCAGAAACCAUCAUGCAACUGUAAAGGAUUUUGAAGUGUAGAAAAACCCUUGAAGAUAGCAUCAAGGAUUUGUUUUGAGAGAUAAGACUGUUAGUAAGUGGUAGAUGUUUAUCUGACUUAAAAUCCAUUAGGGAGCAGUAGUUUUGAUAACAUCACCAAGAAAAGUAGUAGAUUUUCCUAGGCAAACUCACAAGUAUCAUCCAACUCUUUGUUCAAAAUGUAACUGAAUUGGUAAACAAUUUGAUUCAUAAACAAAUACCAAGAUAUAACUUAAUUGGUAAAGAAUUUCAUUCAUAAACAAUUGCUGAAUGCUUGCUGUCUGCUCACGACCUGUAUAUUAGUGAUUUUCUAGGAACGUCUCCUCGAUACCUUCUUUUUUUCAUCUGUGGUGGUACUAGCAGUUUCUAAUCUCGCUUUGUCUCUUUGCAGCUGACAAAGGCAUACUAUGCAUUUUUGGAAGUUCUGUUCAAUAGCCACAUAGUUUUCUUGUUGAAUCUUGAUACAAACACUUUCAUGCAUAUAGUUGGCUCGCUUGAAUCUGGUCUGAAAGGUCUAGAUGGUGGUAUAUCCUCACAGGUAUUAUACUAUAAACCCAUCAUGGAGCAAUACACGUCUCUUACACAGUGAAUUUUUUUUUUUUCCAUCUGUUGAUUUCCUGCAAAGAAUUUUGGUGAGGUUUCACAAUGGGUGUAUCUGCAUCCAUUUAGAGCAUCAUACUUACGUAGUCAGUAAAACAGGUGUUGUAUGUUAACAAGCCCAUGGUACAGUCAAAGUGUCAAAAAACUUGUAUUCACAAAAUUCAUCUGCUAAAUGUUUAGUUUGACUGCUGAUUUUGAAAGCAGUGAUAUUAAAGAAAGGCAACUGGUCGUUAAUACAACUAGUGUUACCGAUUUUUAAUGGUGAAAUGCUGAUGCAUGUUUAAAUGGAUCCUUUAACGUUGAUGAAUUUUGUGGCACACUGGUAGGUGAUUGCUUUUAUUUCUUAUCAAAUCUGUUCUGUUCUUGAUGCCAGUGUGCAUCAGCAAUUGACAAUCUAGCUUCUUACUAUUUCAACAACAUUACCAUGGGUGAAGCACCCACUUCACCAGCUGCAGUUAGUCUGGCAAGGCAUGUUUCAGAAUGUCCCACUAUGUUCCCAGAGGUAGGCCAAGUAUAUUAUUCUUGUGUACUAAAGUGAGCUUUAUAAAGUAAUGUCCUGAUCCUCAAAUUACAGAGGCUGAUAAUUCUACCAUUCUGCAUUGACUGUCUGUGCCAGUAUGAUUGCUUCAUCUUAGUUUGCAGAUCUGAAAGGCAUUUAAAAAAAUUAAACUGACAAAUGCCUGCAUUUUCUACCAUGAGCACACACUUGUAGUGCAAAGUAUUAGCAAAUAUCUCCGUUUACCAAUGAGCACACAGAGAGUUUGAGAUAUCUGGAUUAUAUAUAUUGCCAACAACAGUCAAGGAAAGCUUUCUACUUUGUUAAAUUAACAUUGAAAGAGAGGGAUUAUUUGUAUAUAAGUAGUUGCUUUACCUUUCUUCCAUGCUUUCUGCUGUCUUGUACUGAUAUUAGCUUUUGUUCAGAUACUCAAGACCCUCUUUGAGAUAGUUUUGUUCGAGGAUCUUGGCAAUCAAUGGAGUCUUAGCAGACCAAUGAUAAGCUUGAUACUUGUAAAUGAGCAGGUGAUGUUCAGAGCUGUUCUUUGGCUCUUUUUUGUAGACCACUUCUUGCUGCUGCUUACAACUCGACACAAUAUAUUGGGCCUAAGACUUUCCUUUUGUCUUAUUCUAAUGGUGUUUUUUUGGGCCAUUUGUUGUAAAAAUUUCAUUGUAUGAAUUAGCUGUUCGUUUUCUCUUUGUUUGCAGAAAGUAAUUGACACUGAUUGCAACAAUUUUUUUUGCAGAUACUAACAGAUCUGAAAGCUCAUAUUUUGUCUUCACAGGCAAGUCUUAGCCUAGCUUUGACUAUUUUUACUGAUUUUUUCUUUUUGUUGUCAAUCAUAAUGCAAUACGUUGGUUUAGCAUGGUUUUAGAUGCUAGUUUCUGGCUGCUAUAAUUAUAAUGCAGUAGAACAUAUAUUCUGAGUUGAAGUCCUUAAUUGCAGCUUAAACAUUCUAGAAAAAGCUAGAACUCUUUACCAAAUUGUAAAUUGGUUAAAACUUCUUAACGGUAGGUCAAGUGAAUUGGAGCAUUUGCCUCUCGUUUCUUCCAGCAGUUUCCUUGGUGGCCAUUUCGGCACCUGUAUUCAAAUUUAAUUUUGGGAUUUGAAUAUUUCAACCAAGCUAAUUAUCGGGGUUGAUGGUUCUCCUGUUAUGAUUAUUAUGUUGAACUUGGAAAAUCAGCUAUUGAGAUUGUGGUAUUAUUGUUUGCGAAAGUGGGUUUAGAAUACUUGACUAAAAGCAUAUUUCAGUUCUGCUCUCGUGUUAGCAUGCAAGACAAUGCUUAAAAUCCUUUGCAUCUGGCAACUUUUGAAUGUCCAGUUAUAGUCGUGGAAGAUGAUAACCCCCAUUCUGGGUUCCUCUUCCUUGGACACCUGACUAGUAAGCAGAAUAGUGCUUCGGCUGACCAACACAUGAUUAUUAAGAAUAUGUACCCAACUCGAAGGGGCUGUGGAACUUUUGAGCUUCCACGCUGCUGAUAAAAAAAGAAUCAUCAACAACUUUGAUAGAUAUGCUUCAUGUAUAGGAAACUAAACAUACAUCAGUCGAUGAUUGGGAAGGAUACAGGUUUACAAGUGUCUUCAUAAUGAAACAAAGCACAAGUACAGCUAUCUUGUACAGUUAAGAAUGCUAAAUAUUGUUGUAAUGGUCAAAUUACAGUAUUACUUAAAACUAAAAUGAAAAUAUUUACUGAAUUUUGAAUGACAAGGAUGGCAAACAGAUUUUAACAACUUGACUACCCUGGUAGUUAGUAUAUGUAAUAAUUCUCAACUGCGAAAGCACUAGCCAUAGUUUUGUAUAGAGUGCUUUUAAUUGUAUGCAGAGUUUACUUGAUUUCAGCUCACUGUUGUUAAUUAUCUAUCUAUUCAGUAAACUGUCUUGCCUAAAGAGCAAUUACUAAAAUUUGCAUGCUCUGCAAAUGUGCCUGUUUUGGUUGCUCCAUUAUUUCCAUGUGCAAAAUGACAAUUUUUCUGGUUUUAUUGCAGCCAAUAGAUCAGCAUCAGCGCCUUUCCCUGUGCUUUGACAAAUUAAUGGUUGAUGUUAAUCGAAGCUUGGAUUCAAAAAACCGAGACAAGUUUACCCAGAAUUUGACAAUAUUUAGGAAUGAUUUUCGUGUCAAAUAGCUAUAUGCUUGUGGGAUUACCUCCAAUUUUAAUCCACUUGCACUCGUAAUGAUAUCUGUCACCUUGAGGAUUCAUCUCCGUGUUACAGAUGGCUCCUAAUAUGAAAAUUUUCAUCCUUGGCAAACACCAAUCAUUCAGGAGUAUUUUGAGUGCAUUUGGGAUUCUCUGUGGACAUGAGAAGUAGCAUGCUAAAUGAACUUGUACUAAUUGUGAUGUACAUAAUUUUUUGAAUGAGUGCAUAGUUGAUGCCUAACAUCCAUCAAUAGAACUUUUCAGGUUGUGGCAGAUUGACUAAAUGCACCUAUUUUGAAUGUAUUUUUGAGCUGUUCUGUAGGAGAAUGCUUAGUUAUAUUAUUUGUUAGGUGAACUUGUUUUGAGUUGUAAAUUCUAUGUUGAUCAUUGAUCAUUUACUAACUUUUGGUUGUAAUGGUGCUCUUUACAGCUAAAAUCUGAAUUCCUUGUUAUUUGAUUUCAUUUAAGCCGUGUUACAUAUUGUUGCUACUAUUGUUGUUAUUGUUGUUGUCAUUUAAUACAAAUGUAGGAGGGAAACUCUAUCCUAGUAUCACGGAAUGGCUAUUUCAUAACACAUUAGCCCAUCUGGCACUAGCGCUCUCAAGGACUUAGGCAAGAGAAAUGAUUUAGUUCAGCCUUUAUCCAAACAUCUCAGAGUAGCACUCUCAAGGACUUGGCCUAUAUAUAGGCAAACCCAAGAGAGCAAGAGAAUUCUACAAUCUAAGGUUACAAUGCUUGACCUCUAGAAGUUCUAGUUCUACACUAGUCUAGGCCUCUUAUGUACAAGACUAGGCUAUUCUACAGCAUCCAAUAGUAAACCACUAGCCUUUGGGCUGGUGGUCACUUAAGGCCUGUUACCAUCAAUUGUCACAUUAUGUGGCUCUCUUAAAAAUCCAGACGGGUGUGUAGUGCAUUCGUCUAGUCCGAUAGCGGUUCGGUCCCUGUUGGUCCCUCCCAUUGGUUCAGUUAUGCCUCCUUUAGAAUAUGUUAGAGAAGGAGUAAGAAUAAGUGUAGAGUAAACUAUUGCUGACUGUCGAAAAAAAAAAUACUACAUCCAAUAGUAGCCUAUAGUAAUUUGGAAUAUUCUACAAAAUAUAUGUGAGGUUUUCUAUAAUUCUUUCGUAAGAGCUAGUCAUGGGUAUUAAUUGCACUUUUUCCUAGGGGUGUUAUCAAAUUUUGUUUCAAGUCAUGGUGAGAGAUACGACUAGGUGAAGAGAUUAAGAGAAAAUUUUUAUCAGAUUUAUGUACUAAUGUUUUAUUAGCUAUCUAUUAUUUUAUAUUUUCUUUUAAAGUUCUUUGUCUACAAUCUUAAUUGAUUUUAUAUGGGUUUGAUCUAAUAAAAAGUAGGGAUUUUUCCUACUUGAGUAAGGAUUUUCUCAAUUCCUAAUAAUAAGUUUAUCUUUUUCCUAUAUUAAAAUUAUUUCUUAAUUUCUUUAGGCAUGUUCAUAUUUAAAAGAGCAAAUUGCACUAAAAGUCACUAAACUGUACACUUGUGCUGGUCUAGGCUAUUAAACUAUUUCCUUAGUCGAAAAUGUUGCUGAACUAACCAAAAUGCAUGCUUUGUGUCAUUCUGUAUAAUUUGGUCGUCAAAACAAGCGAAAUGGACAUCAUGUGACUUGUAGGCUUGGUUUUUGAGGGGCAAAAUCGUUGAUUUAGUUUUUUGGUUGAUGUUUGUCUUCUGCCCUUGAAUGUUAUAGAUAACAAUCAGGCUCUAUUUUCUUUUCCACCCUAAGGCCCUUGUGAAUUUUUGCCCAAAUCUAAAGUAGAUUUUUCCUUGCCAUCUCCACACCACUAGCCAGCCAAUGGCUGGGGUUCGUAAUCAUUGUUUUUUGAAUUGAUGUGGUCUUUUUGCCUUCCAAGAAAAGGAAGAGGAUUUUUUCAAGUUCUCUCUUUGUUUAAGUGGAAUCAAGUAGGGUUUUAUAUGUUCACACAUGAAAUAGAAUCAAGUGGGGUCUUAUAUGUUCACAUGAAACCCUAAACUCUUUUAUUAGUUUUGAAACAACUACUAUGCCUACUUCCACUUAACAUGUGAAAUGGAAGCAAGUGGGGCCUUAUGUUAUAUGUUCAUAUAGAACUCUUCUAUUAGUUCUUGAGCAACUAAGAUGCCAACCAAGUGGUUGCUUGGAGCUGACUAAAAUUUUUGAGUGUUUUCUUAAUGUAGAAUUUCUCUUAUGGGAGAAUUGCAAUUAUAUUCUCUCAUAUUUGCAACUUAUGCUUUUCACAGUUCAAAAUUAAGCAUUUUGGUCCUUAACGAUGUUUGAAAUACAAAUUUGGUACUAAAUUCUAUUUUGUGUCAAUUUAUUUUGUACUUUGGAAGAAGAGAAAGUUAGACUAAGAGUUAAGGUAUAAAAGAAACAUAGAUGUAUAAUAUUAUAUGCAUAAAGAAAGUCAAUUGCAAGUAGCUUUAUUUUUUGAAGCAAGCAAUUUCACUUUUGGUCCACAAUCUAUGUGGUUAGAAAUGAAAUAUGGGAACAAAGUUAAUACUGACUAAGUUGCAGGUAGAGGUAUCAAAAUGGGUGACUUGGGCGGGUUUGGGUUGGGUAAAAAAUGGGUAAUAGGUUGUCACGCCCCGAGCUCGCACGUGCCCGUCACAUGACACCCGCCGUACUC